CUCGUAGGCGGUCUGUUACGUCCGCUGUGAAAUCCCAGGGCUUAACCCUGGGCUUGCAGUGGAUACGGGCAGACUAGAGGUAGGUAGGGGAGAAUGGAAUUCCCGGUGUAGCGGUGAAAUGCGCAGAUAUCGGGAGGAACACCGGUGGCGAAGGCGGUUCUCUGGGCCUUACCUGACGCUGAGGAGCGAAAGCGUGGGGAGCGAACA
rnacentral:rRNA from 1 species